CGCGUAGACAAUCUACCAUUUAAUGUGGGAUAACUCAUUGAAAAGUGAACUAAUACCGCAUAGACUCUCUUCAUGGCAUCAUGAUAAGAGUAAAGACCGAGGUCGUUAAAUGAUGAGUCUGCGUAUCAUUAGUUAGUUGGUAAGGUAACGGCUUACCAAGACAUCGAUGAUUAGCUGGUCUGAGAGGAUGAUCAGCCACACUGGGACUGAGAUACGGCCCAGACUCCUACGGGAGGCAGCAGUGAGGAAUAUUGCACAAUGGGGGCAACCCUGAUGCAGCAACGCCGCGUGUACGAAGAAUCUGAAUACAGUGUAAAGUACUGUUAGAAGAGACGAAAUAUUGGGAUUAGGAGUCUAAUUUGCCUGUACCUUCUAAGAAAGCUCCGGGCUAACUCCGUGCCCAGCUGCAGCGG
rnacentral:rRNA from 1 species